CCAUCCUCUACAGGCG
rnacentral:misc_RNA from 1 species